GACGAACGCUGGCGGCGUGCCUAAUACAUGCAAGUAGAACGCUGAAGGAGGAGCUUGCUUCUCUGGAUGAGUUGCGAACGGGUGAGUAACGCGUAGGUAACCUGCCUGGUAGCGGGGGAUAACUAUUGGAAACGAUAGCUAAUACCGCAUAAUAGUAGAUGUCGCAUGACAUUUGCUUAGAAGGUGCAAUUGCAUCACUACCAGAUGGACCUGCGUUGUAUUAGCUAGUUGGUGAGGUAACGGCUCACCAAGGCAACGAUACAUAGCCGACCUGAGAGGGUGAGCGGCCAGACUGGGACUGAGACACGGCCCAGACUCCUACGGGAGGCAGCAGUAGGGAAUCUUCGGCAAUGGACGGAAGUCUGACCGAGCAACGCCGCGUGAGUGAAGAAGGUUUUCGGAUCGUAAAGCUCGGUUGUAAGAGAAGAACGAGUGUGAGAGUGGAAAGUUCACACUGUGACGGUAUCUUACCAGAAAGGGACGGCUAACUACGUG
rnacentral:rRNA from 1 species